GUUUCUUCACAGGGCUGUCGAGGGUAAAGGCGGCAGUUCUGCUACGGCGGCCAGUCCUGGGGUGACAGGAGGCCACGGAUCCCCCGGUACCCAAGACCCAGGCCCAGGAGGGACCUUGGUGUGACUGGCAGGGGCCUCUUCCCUGCUCACAAGCCCAUCAAGGGGCCUCCCGCCACUCUGGGAACCCAGCUCUGACCCUGACUCACCGGGUCUCUGCAUGGUCCACCCGGGGGCCAGCAGGGAUGAGCCGUCCUGUCUCUGCUGUGAACAAGUCUCUCUGUGGGUUCUCUUUUAAAGCCCAGUUGUAACUUGGACCUUGAAGCUCAGUUCCUGCAGAGGUGCAAGAGAAGCCUGAGCCAGUGCCACUGGAGAGCCGCUCCUGCGUCCUCAUCCGCCGCGACCUCGUGGCCCUGCCUGCCAGCCUCAUCAGCCAGAUCGGAUACCGCUGCCAUCCCAAGCUCUACUCGGAGGGGGACCCUGGAGAAAAGCUGGAGCUGGUGGCAGGCUCUGGGGUCUACAUCACACGUGGCCAGCUGAUGAACUGCCACCUCUGCGCAGGGGUGAAGCACAAGGUCUUGCUGCGGAGACUCCUGGCCACCUUCUUUGACAGGUAGGUCGGAGCAGGGGUGCUGGAGGGCACAGUGGAGCUGCGGAGGGUUCUGGCUCCUUUAGCUGUGAGCUGUCUGAUUGUCCAGGGUUGUGGCAUUGAAAGUCCCCUUGCAUUCCCGACUUCAGCCGUGGCCUGCCAGCCCCAGGACGGUGGAGAGGCUCCCGGGGAGGGAGGAGCUGUCUUCCGUGUCCUUUCUCAAAGGGCCUUAUGGAUGCAACCCCCAC